rnacentral:rRNA from 1 species
CGCUAGCUACAGGCUUAACACAUGCAAGUCGAGGGGCAGCAUGGUCUUAGCUUGCUAAGGCCGAUGGCGACCGGCGCACGGGUGAGUAACGCGUAUCCAACCUGCCUUACACUCUUGGACAGCCUUCUGAAAGGGAGAUUAAUACAAGAUGUUAUCAUGAGUAAGCAUUUUCGCAUGAUUAAAGGUUUACCGGUGUAAGAUGGGGAUGCGUUCCAUUAGAUAGUAGGCGGGGUAACGGCCCACCUAGUCUUCGAUGGAUAGGGGUUCUGAGAGGAAGGUCCCCCACAUUGGAACUGAGACACGGUCCAAACUCCUACGGGAGGCAGCAGUGAGGAAUAUUGGUCAAUGGACGAGAGUCUGAACCAGCCAAGUAGCGUGAAGGAUGAAGGUUCUAUGGAUUGUAAACUUCUUUUAUACGGGAAUAAACGAAUCCACGUGUGGAUUUUUGCAUGUACCGUAUGAAUAAGGAUCGGCUAACUCCGUGCCAGCAGCCGCGGUAAUACGGAGGAUCCGAGCGUUAUCCGGAUUUAUUGGGUUUAAAGGGAGCGUAGAUGGGUUGUUAAGUCAGUUGUGAAAGUUUGCGGCUCAACCGUAAAAUUGCAAUUGAUACUGGCAGUCUUGAGUACAGUUGAGGUAGGCGGAAUUCGUGGUGUAGCGGUGAAAUGCUUAGAUAUCACGAAGAACUCCGAUUGCGAAGGCAGCUUACUAACCUGUAACUGACAUUGAUGCUCGAAAGUGUGGGUAUCAAACAGGAUUAGAUACCCUGGUAGUCCACACGGUAAACGAUGAAUACUCGCUGUAGGCGAUAUACAGUCUGCGGCCAAGCGAAAGCAUUAAGUAUUCCACCUGGGGAGUACGCCGGCAACGGUGAAACUCAAAGGAAUUGACGGGGGCCCGCACAAGCGGAGGAACAUGUGGUUUAAUUCGAUGAUACGCGAGGAACCUUACCCGGGCCUAAAUUGCAACCGAAUAUGGCGGAAACGCUAUAGCUAGCAAUAGCGGUUGUGAAGGUGCUGCAUGGUUGUCGUCAGCUCGUGCCGUGAGGUGUCGGCUUAAGUGCCAUAACGAGCGCAACCCUUGCCGAUAGUUACUAACAGGUCAUGCUGAGGACUCUGUCGGGACUGCCAUCGUAAGAUGUGAGGAAGGUGGGGAUGACGUCAAAUCAGCACGGCCCUUACGUCCGGGGCUACACACGUGUUACAAUGGGGGGUACAGAGGGCUGCUACCACGCAAGUGGAUGCCAAUCCCAAAAACCUCUCUCAGUUCGGAUUGAAGUCUGCAACCCGACUUCAUGAAGCUGGAUUCGCUAGUAAUCGCGCAUCAGCCACGGCGCGGUGAAUACGUUCCCGGGCCUUGUACACACCGCCCGUCAAGCCAUGGGAGCCGGGGGUACCUGAAGUGCGUAACCGCAAGGAGCGCCCUAGGGUAAAACUGGUGACUGGGGCU